rnacentral:rRNA from 1 species
AUUGAACGCUGGCGGGAUGCCUUACACAUGCAAGUCGAACGAGUGGCGGACGGGUGAGUAAUAUAUGGGAAACUGCCCAAUAGAGGGGGAUAACUACUGGAAACGGUGGCUACUACCGCAUACUAUCGGAUGUGCCGAGAUCGGAUUAGCUAGUAGGUGGGGUAAAGGCUCACCUAGGCCACGAUCCGUAGCUGGUCUGAGCGGAGGAUCAGCCACACUGGGACUGAGACACGGCCCAGACUCCUACGGGAGGCAGCAGUGGGGAAUAUUGGACAAUGGGGGCAAGCCUGAUGCAGCCAUGCCGCGUGUAUGAUGAAGGCCUUCGGGUUGUAAAGUACUUUCAGCGGGGAGGCGUUAUCUGCAGAAGAAGCACCGGCUAACUACGUGCCAGCAGCCGCGGUAAUAC